UGCAGUUUCGGUGUGUGCACGUGGCCUGGGUGAGCCUCGCGGAGUGGCAGUCGUUCGGGCAGGAGUCAUCAUGGACGAGAAGUUGUUCACCAAGGACCUGAACCAGUGGAUCGAGCAGCUGAACGAGGGCAAGCAGCUCUCAUUCAAGAGCCUCUGCGAGAAGGCUAAAGAAAUCCUGACAAAAGAAUCCAAAAUGCAAGAGGUUUGAUGUCCAGUCACUGUGUGUGGAGAUGUGUGUGGGCAAUUUCAUGACCUCAUGGAACUCUUUAGAAUCGGUGGUAAAUCACCAGAUACAAUUUACUUGUUUAUGGCGGACUAUGUGGACAGAGGAUAUCACUCAGUUCAAACAGGUACACUGCUUGUAGCUCUUAAGGUUCGUUGUCGUGAGCGUAUCACCAUACUCUGAGGGGAUCAUGAGAGCAGACAGCACACAAGUUUAUGGUUUCUAAGAUGAGUGUUUAAGAAAAUACGGAAAUGCAAACGUUUGGAAAUACUUCACAGACCUUUUUGACUGUCUUCUUCUCACUGCCUUGGUGGAUGGGCAGAUCUUCUGUCUACCUGGUGGUCUGAUGCCAUCCAUAUCCACACUGGAUCCCAUCUGAGCACCUGAUCGCCUACAAGAAGUUCCUCAUGAGGGUCCAUGUGUGACUUGCUGUGGUCAGAUCGAGAUGAUUGUGGUGGCUGGGGGAUACCUCCUCGACGAACUGGUUAUAUUGUUGGCCAAGAUUUUUCCGAGACAUUUAAUCAUGCCAAUGGCCUCACGUUGGUGUCCAGAGCUCACUAGCUGGUGAUGGAGGAAUAUACGUGGUGCCAUGAUGGAAUGUAAUAUCCAUUUGCAGUGCUCCAAACUAUUGCUAUCUUUGUGGUAACCAAGCUGAAAUCACGGAACUUGAUGACGCUUGUAAGUAUUCUUUCUUGCAGUUUGAUCCAGCACCUCGUAGAGGCGAACCACGUGUCACUCGUGGUACCCGAGACUGCUUCCAUCUGCUCCUCCCCAUCUCGGAACAGCAGCCCCUCACUCACCACGUCAUGACAUCCCAGCUCACUC